rnacentral:lncRNA from 1 species
AUGCCGAACAUCCCAGGGGACCUGGAGAGCCGGGAGGCCAUGGUGGCAUUUUUCAACUCCGCUGGAGCCAGUGCCCAGGAGGAACAAAGGGUGUGCUGCCAGCCCCUGGCUCACCCAGUGGCCUCGUCCCAGAAGAAGCCAGAGGUAGCGGCCCCAGCCCCAGAGAGUGGGGGUGAGUCUGUGUUUGGGGAGACCCACCGGGCCCUGCAGGGGGCCAUGGAGAAGCUGCAGCGACUUUAUGGAAGGAGAAGGUGGACCUGAAGGAGCGGGUAGAGAAACUAGAGCUUCAAUUCAUCCACCUCUCAGGACAGACAGACACCAUAGAAAGUACAUCAGCCAGGGGGCAGUGUCAGAGACGCAGCACUGGGAGAGGAGGACAUCGUCAGGCUGGCCCAGGACCAGGAGGAGAUGAAGGUGAACCUGCAGGAGCUGCGGGGCAGGUGUUGCAGCUUGUGGGCGACCACAAGGAGGGGCAUGGCAAAUUUUGACCAUUGCCCAGAACCCUGCUGAUGAGCCCACUCUAGGAGCCCCAGUAGCCCAGGAGCUUGGGUGUGCUGACGAGCAGGGUGAUCUUUGUGAGGUGAGCCUCACUGAUAGCGUGGAGGCUGCACCAGGAGAGGACAGGGAGGGUUCUCCCCACGACAACCCCACUGCACAGCAGAUCCAGCAGCUGCUUCCUGUAAUGCAGGACUCCCCAGGAGCACCCAGGCAUGGGCAGCAACCCCUGCAUGCCAUUCUUUUUGGGCUCCCGAGAACAGGGAGAUAAACACCACCAUC